rnacentral:rRNA from 1 species
GACGAACCGAGCGAACGUUGUUCGGAAUCACUGGGCUUAAAGGGCGCGUAGGCGGGCUGUCAAGUCUGGGGUGAAAUCCCGCGGCUCAACCGUGGAACUGCCUCAGAUACUGACGGUCUCGAGGGAGGUAGGGGCGAGCGGAACUGAUGGUGGAGCGGUGAAAUGCGUUGAUAUCAUCAGGAACUCCGGUGGCGAAGGCGGCUCGCUGGACCUCUUCUGACGCUGAGGCGCGGAAAGCCAGGGGAGCAAACGGGG